AAAAAUAAAAAUUUGAGAGAAAGAGUGUGUCUCUGUUAAACCGAACCAAUUCGAGAUUUCACUCGCCGUUACUCUGAGAGAGACAGAGAGAGAGCUCCGAUCAUCGCUCCCGUCCAAUCGCCGCCGUCCAUUCUCCGAACCCGAUCAUCAUCGAGUUCAAUUCGCGGGAGAGUUUGGAUUCUAAUAUGAAUUCCGUCAAUUUCUAUUUGAUUUUUUUGGGGAUUUUUUUUCAUAGAAGAAGGAUUGUGAUAGUUUUCAAUUGCGCACUGUAAUAAUCGCUUCUAGGGAUUCGGGUUUCUGGGUUUUGUUGGGUUUUGCGAGAGCUUUGGUGGGUGUGGGAGCGUGUUGUGGGAAUUUGGACUGAUAUGCUGGACUUUAGGAGGUGGUGGGGGCGUUUAGAACACAAGGGUUAGGGUUUUAGGGGGGUUAGGGUUUCAAGAGAGAGAGAGAGAGAGAGAGAGAGAUAUGGAGGUGAAUAAUAAUAAUACUACCGAGCUUGAAGAAGGCGAGGCUUCUUGCUAUUACAAGGACGACGACGACGAAAACUUUGACCCGGAUAUCGAUCUCGCUUACCUUGAAGAGAAACUUGAUCAAGUUCUGGGACAUUUCCAGAAGGAUUUCGAGGGUGGGGCUUUUGCUGAGAAUUUGGGGGCCAAAUAUGGUGGAUAUGGCUCAUUUUUACCUACACAUGAACGAUCUCCAUCCGUUUUGUCUACUCCAAAGACACCGCAGGGAAACUGCAACACAUCAAGAUCUCCUAAAAGUUCCAUGGAGGGUGCCUCUCAAAAUUUGAAAGCUUCAUCAAAUGCGCUUCCAACUGUGAGGCUUGGAACUUCUUCAUCUAGUGCUCGUUUGUCACGUAAUUCUGGGGGUUUUGUGGGCAUUUCCUCUAAAGAGGAUUCAUGUGUUCCUUCUACUCAAGUAGCUGAGAGGUGUUCCUUGAAAGAUGAGAUGCCAAACAGAUCUGGUAAUCCAGCUGAUCGAAGGACACUAAAGGUUCGAAUCAAAAUGAACUCUGAUAACACAUCUCGGAAGAACGUAGCAAUUUAUAGUGGUCUUGGGCUUAACUCCCCAUCUUCAUCUUUUGGGAAUAGCCCCGACGAAAGUGGAGAGAUGCCACCUGCCUCUCAAGUGAAUGUAGAUGAGUCUCCCACUAACAUUAUUCAGGUUAUGACUUCGUCUCCAGUUCCUGGGCAUGUGCUGAUGUCACCUCUUCAUGACAGUUUAAUUUCUCUAACGAGAAAGAAAAAGCUUCAUCAACAGAACAUGUUGCCCCAAUCUAAGGGUCCUCAAGAACAUUCUUCUUUGUCUGCUUCCACACUGGGAAAUGGAAAAUUGUUAAAGGAGCCGAAUGUUGAAGUUACAGGUAAGGGUGAAAAGCAGGUAGAACUGAAGAUUGAGAGUGUUAUGAAUGUUAAGAAUGACAUGAAAAUUCUUAUAAAAAAGAAAUCAGGAACCGACACUCUAGGAGGCAAGGAGCUAUUGUCCAAUGGCUACAAAACAUUCCAGUUAUCCAACUCAGUGGGUGAUGUUGUUGACUGUGUUAAAGUUACUCAUAGAACACCCAAUUCCCGGGUAACCAAUGAGAAUGAGGUGAAAAGAAGUUUAUCUUUCUCUGAGUUAGCGAAGCAGGAGUCAUUGGAGUCGAUAUCCGGUCAUGGUUGUGACAAGAAUGAGAAGCAAAAUUCUAGGUGUGGUUCAGUGGAAAAAGUUCGGAAACAGUCAGUAAAAAAUUCCCACAAGGAUGCCCUGGUUGAUCUCAGAGAUGGAGGCAAGAACAAGGGUUUUCCUGCCUCAAUAGAUUAUUCUGGUGCAUUCAAAUGCAAGGAAGAGCUAGACCUGCACCCCCAAAAUGCUGGUGAGGAAAGUACAUAUCAUGAUCAAGAAAAGACUAAUGUGCCUGGCAAGAAGGAAACACUGUCUUUUGAGGGCAAGAUUAAGUCAAAGGGAAAACUAAGUAAUGAAAAGCAACCAGGUAUUUUAACAAAGGAAAGCUUGGGAGUUGAAAUGGGUGUAGUGCCAAAAGAUGAAAUGAAUGGUGGUCAUGGUGUUUCUCUAUCUAGCAGAAAAGUGCAGAAGUUAAAGUCGCAGAAGGAUACAGUCAGAGAUAACCGUAGAGAUUCAUUGGCGGCUAAAGUUUUGGAACGACGGGCUAAAAUGGAUGUAGCAGAAAGGCCUAUUGAUGAUAUUGACAUGGAAUGUAAAUCAUCCAAGGACAGACCAAGUGAAAAACUGAGUGGUAGAAAGGUUGAUAAUCGGUUAGUGUCAGGGGGGUCUGUAAACGAUGCUUCUACUAUGUGCCGCCCUACAAUUGAAAAUGGACUUGCAUCAGAGAUUGUACCAGUAGCUGCAGCUCCUGUUGUUAUAGAAGAAGAUUGGGUAUGCUGUGAUAGUUGUCAGAAGUGGAGGCUUCUCCCCUUCGGCAAAAAGCCAGAGCAACUCCCUGAGAAAUGGUUGUGUAGCAUGCUAGACUGGCUGGGGCCUGGGAUGAACCAAUGUGACAUCAGUGAAGAUGAAACAACAAAAGCACUUAAUGCAUUGUACCAUCUACCAUCUUCAGAAAGUCUGACUAACCCGCAAACUCAUGCUAAUGGAACAUCAUCUGUAGUACCUGCAGGUCAUGCUCAACAUCUGGGUCAAAAUUAUCAAAAUCUCAGUUCUAAUGGCAUGUCUAAUAGGGUGAAGAAGAGACAUGGUGUGAAGGAAACAAGGAAUGCAGGUAGUGGUGAUGGUGUCUUGAAAUCUUACCUGCAAGAACCUGUGAAGUGCACAAGCUUAAAUGACAUGAACCUGCCUCCUUUAGAACCAAAUCCAAUAAAGAAAUCUAGUGAUCAUUUUAUGAGUAACCUCCAGAACUUGGGCAUGGAAGAAAACAUAGCCAAACAGAAGGAGAAGCAAAUAAGUGGAGGUGAUGCAAAGAAAGUAAGAUUAAAACACAAGAAGGAUACUGAUCCCUAUAAAUGUGGUACUUCUAAGAAGCCCAGGAGAGAAGAUGUGUUGCAUGCUGAUAAAGAUCAGAGUUCUGAUAACGACCUUGGGAGGGUGGGGAUCACUUCUAGUAAUGGUGUGCUGACCCAUGUACUUGGUCAGGAUGGAAAAUACAAUGAUUUCUGUUACUCUGAAGACACAGAGGAUAAAUUACAAAUUUCUGCAAGGAAACCGGGGCAUCAAACUCAGGUCUCAUUAGAUGGUGGGCCUUUGGAUGUGAGAACGUGCAGUAAAGGGGAUAGUUCCAUGAAGAAAAUGAGAAAGAGAGAGUGGCAGGAUAAUCAGAAUAAUGUGGAAACAUUUCAUAAUUCUGUGCAUGAAGGCCGGGUAAAUACAAAGGAGGAAAGUAGUGAAAGUGGAUCUUGGAAGGAAAAGAAGGCCAGGAUUUUAAAAACUGAAGGCAAAGAGUCUAGCACUAGUAAUAUUGAUGAUAAGUCAGAUAGAAAGAGCAGAGUUACCAAGAUUGUUGUGUCAGGCAUAAAAGCUCAUCCCAUUGAUCCUAUGAAAAAGGAUAGGAAUAUUGUCAGGGAUCAGCAACCCAGGAAUUGCAGUAAAAGGGAUUUGGGAUCUGGGCAUGUUUCUUUAGCUGCCACUUCAAGCUCUUCAAAGGUUUCAGGUUCCCGUAAAAGCAGAGGUAAGCUUGAGGAAGUGAAAGGCUCGCCUGUGGAAUCGGUUUCUUCAUCUCCUUUAAGGACCUCUAACUCAGACAGGCUGACUUCGGCGAAGGGAGAUGGCUUUGUGAAGGAUGAACCCAUUUGUGGUGGAUUCUCUCUGACGAGUAAUUCCAAAAGAUGCUGGGAUGGGGAUGGAAAUGGUAGUGUUGCUAGAUUUGGGAACACCAGGACAGAGAAAACAUCAGCGCGUAUUCAUCCUGAAUCUCAUAAAUUUUCAACUGUAGGCUACCAUGAGGGAGGUGCUAGUGGUCAUGAUGAUAGUUUAGGACAACAUGGCCAGUUCCUCAGUAAUCAGCAUGACCUGCAUCAUUGUCAUCAUGAUAAUAGAGAGAACAAGAUCCACCCCAAAGAUGCAGUUUUUCUGAAAAGAUCCGGUAAGGACUCCUGUUUGCAGUCUAAGGACAAUAUUAGAGGUUCUACUAGUGACUUAGAUAUGGAUAAGGUGAAGAUCUCGGGUCCAGUGAAUGAGUACUCAAAAAAGAGUCAAAGAUAUGCAUCUGAGAUUGACCGCAAUCAUGAUGUUAGAAACAAUCUUCCUGAAGAGUGUAGCAUUAAGCCAGUGAAGGUCAAGGAUGAGAAAUAUCAUGUUACUUGGGGGGACAAGGUGGGACAAGGGUCAAGUGGCAGUGCAGCGGAAACUCAACUAAAACAAAAAGGCUAUGAUGUGUCAGAUGAGAAGUUGGGUGCUACUCAAUUUCCUAUUAGAAAAGGUGCCCCACGGCAGAACAUGAAUCAGGAUUUUGGGUAUGGUCAGAAACAAAAUAAUUCCAGAAGCGGAAAACCAAAACCAUCUUCACAUUCUCACAGUGAAUUAAAAGAGGGGAUUACAAAAAAAGAAGGGGAAGAAGGGAUUGAAAGGGAAGAGGGGGCACGAUCUCAUGGUUCUCGAGCUGUGGCAUGGCCUGAGAGAGAAGUUGUGUUUCAAGGACUUCCAGUAAGUUCUGCUGUCAAUGGUAAUAUGCAAAAGUCAUUAAAACAAUAUGGGACUGAUUCUAACAAGAAUGGAGUUAAUCGCAAUUUGGGACAUCUUAUGCCCGAUCAUCAGGGAGCAAGAGAUGUCAAUGCUUCAAGUCCUGUGAUAGGCACCUCUGGCCAGAUUGCUACUAAGACCCUGAAUGAAGCUAGAAGUCUAAGAGACACGGCUGAAAAUUCUAAGAACCGUGGGUUUCACGACGAAAGUAGUGUGGCUUAUUUCCAAGCUGCCCAAAAGUUUCUUCAAGGAGCAGCACUUUUGGAAAGUUGCGGUAAUGAGAAAGGCAAGCAUGAAGAUAUGACUCCAUUGCAAGUGUAUAGCAGUACAGCUAAGCUUUGCGAAUUUUGUGCCCAUGAAUUCGAAGAACUCAAAGAAGUUGCUUCUGCUGCGUUGGCCUAUAAAUGCAUGGAGGUGGCAUACAUGAGGGUAGUUUACUGUAAACAUUCUAGUAUAAACAGAGAUCGGCAGGAGUUGCAAGCUACUCUGAAUAUGCCUCCUCAAGGUGAGUCUCCAUCAUCUUCUGCUUCAGAUAUUGAUAAUUUAACCAACCAAGUGACAGCAGAAAAGGCUAUAUUAUGUAAGGGUAUUGGUUCUCUUGUUGCUGGAAACCAUCAUGUUGCUCGAAACCGCCCCAAGAUUCUCAGGCUGCUCGACUUUACACAGGAUGUAAAUUGUGCAAUGGAAGCCUCCACAAAAUCCCAGAUUGCUUUUUCAGCUGCUUGCCUGACCCUGGAAGAUGCACGUAAGAAUGAUUGUAUUUCUUCUAUUAGGAGGGUAAUUGAGUUCAGCUUCCAAGAUGUAGAGGAAUUCGUCCACUUGGUUGAACAUGCAGUGAUGGCCAUAGGUCGGUCCAAAUUUGGUGGUGCUAGAGAUUAAGUCAGCCUUGUAGAUAUUGCAUGUUUUUCUGGUUUUUCGUCAAAACAGGCAUCAGGAAAGAAAGGACAAGGAUGCCUUCAUAGAUCUGCACUUGAAAAUCUGCGAAGAGGCGGAUUCAACAGAUUAUUACCCUCUGUACAUGUGUACAAACUUUUCCAUGCAAGGAUAUGUAUUGAAUAUACAGGUAUGUCACAUUCUGUUUUCACUAUAGUGGUGAUACUCGAGGCUCUCCCAUUCAGUAAGUUGCUUUCAGUAUGUUGAAUUGCAGUGGAGAAUGUCAUGUUAGUGUAGGUCAUAAUUAAAGAACUUCUGUUGUUUCAGUUGGGUUCUGUGCAGUUGCUGAGAAGUUUGCUGACUCGUGACCUUUGUGGAGUGGAGUAUGCACUAUAGCCAUCAGCUUCAUGUGAGUUUAAUUUUUAUGGAAAGGACUACAAUUUUUGUUUUGUUGCAAGAGUUACCCUAUUUACUUAUAUGUAUUACUCUGAUAAGAAAUUUAGCAUACGAGUAUAUAACAUAUGUGACUGGAGGUAUCUUUUGAUGCUUUGGGUGAGAUGUAAAAUUUGUCACCGUCCAUGCUUUAUAGGUGCUGCACUAGGAUGUAGGAGGUAAAGCUCUAUAUAUAAAUACUUUUCUGGGAUGCAAUUGGAGAGCUCAGAAGCAAAUUAACGAUAGUGUAGUUUACCUUGGUGAAUGCACAAACAUAUUUUCCAGGCAGUCUGCUGACUGUUUGCAUAUUACUUUCACUUGUUUUUAUUUCCAUUCAUCCAUUUAGAAGCUUAAAUUGUAGCAAUAUAUGCCAUUGGUUGUCGUUAGAUCAUAAGGUUUCCAAUAAUGAAAAGAAUCGUAAAGGUUUGGAAAGAAAAGAAAAGAAGAGAAAGAGGUAGGUCAAUGUACCAUGUGUCUAUCACUGGGUUGGGAUGUUUGUGAAGAAUGUAGACUGAUAUGGCGGCAUUUAUUGAAAUUCAGUGGUUAAAGAUGUUACUACUAGAAUAACCUUGCUCUGCCCCUGGGACGAAGGUGGUGAACCAGUGUUGUACUGAUUUUGAUUAACAAAUUGGGAUCUUGGUUUGAGGAAGGUGGAGAAUGGAGCUUUUACUCGUCUUUAGCAGCAUUAAGUUUGGUUAUUGAGAUGGUGUCCUCUCUCUACAUUGUACCUUUGGUUUUGAUUGUUGUUUUUGUUCUUCUUGUUUUCACUGCGGUUUGUUUAAGAGCGCAUAUUUGUAAGGCACUGUUAGCCUGUUUUACCCAUUGCUGCCUCCAGAACCUUGCACCAUGUAUCACAGUAAUGAUUUAAGCAAUAUAAUCUCAAGCCUGUUUAUA